rnacentral:misc_RNA from 1 species
UACGGAGGGAGCUAGCGUUGUUCGGAAAUACUGGGCGUAAAGCGAACGUAGGCGGCAUAGCAAGUCAGAGGUGAAAUCCCAGGGCUCAACCCUGGAACUGCCUUUGAAACUGCUAAGCUAGAAUCCUGGAGAGGCGAGUGGAAUUCCGAGUGUAGAGGUGAAAUUCGUAGAUAUUCGGAAGAACACCAGUGGCGAAGGCGACUCGCUGGACAGGUAUUGACGCUGAGGUUCGAAAGCGUGGGGAGCAAACAGG